GUGUGGUGCUAGCUUUGGAUAAUAAUCCAUUGAGCAGACAUGGCUGCAGCGGUUGAGAAAAACAAUCUACGCUUCCUUAAGUUAGCCAGACUCUUCUUCACUAACCCUCCCAGCUUCUGCAAGUGCCAGGCAGGGUAUCCCUCUCCCCAGACCACUACCAGGUACUGCAGCUCCUCCAGAUGAGCCAAUGUCUGACACAGGAGACUAGCACAAGAGGAUCUGCAGGACAGAAGAGUUUCAACAGUAGCAGGAUCAUUCACAGACCUGUUCAGCAAACCUGGAGAUGGAAAGGAGGAGAGAACUGAGGUUAGUAGAGGACAGCAAUGGGUUUGAAAUAGAGAUGGCAAAAGAGUUUUAAGUAAAGGAAGGAAUGGAUUUAGUGCCAUCUUUCACUGAAAAAUAAGACCCCUCCCUCAGCAGGAUACUGUACACUCUGGCAGCUAUAUCACAAACACUGCUUCUUGACUUUAGUCUCGCUCUCACACAACAGUUGUUACUUCAAUUGUUCACUCUCUCCCCCCCAUUAAAGAUACAACUCAUACCCCCAUUCCUUCUGAAUACAGUCUUGUCCUUUAAAGGCAGAUUGGUUGUUUAUCCUUCACUUGUCUAUAACUAUUAUACCUGGGUAUUCCAAGGGUUGGGAGGCUGCUUUCAGAACACAGUCCAUUGGUUGAAGCAGAACACUUAGAGCUUGGAUCCUUACUGCCUGUGGGCUUCAAAAGGAAGAAGUAGCGGUGAACAGACAACUCUUCAUUCUCCCUGAGUAUCUGCCCCCAAAUUCUGAUUAGUUAAUAAAUAACAAUUCACGAGAGUAGAUUCUUUCAGCCUUAAAUCAGGAUGGGGCUGGUGGGAGAGUAACACGUUGCUAUGUGGGGAUUCAAGCUCUGUCCCAAGCUUCCUGCGCUAAGCCAGGAGAGGAAGGAGAAAAGUCCUUGUGGUUUUCAAACAACCUCACUGCAGUAAAGCUAACUGGUUUUGGUGUGAAGUUUUCCAAGGGAGAAGGGGACCGUAAAGGGACAGAAUCCUGAGUGAUCUUCUUCCCAUCGACACAACGUUACAUACUCAGAGUGUAGGCAUUACUUAACCUGCAACAUUGGAUCAUGUGCACCCAGUAAUACUCUCCUAUUUACAGUAGCCUAAAUUAAUUGCUCCUCACAUUGCUGGUUUAGGUAGAAGUCCCAAGAGCAACUAUGGUGAUUUCUGCUGGCAAGCAGUAAGUGUACUUCUAUUAGACAGCAUAUGGGAAGGGGAAGGAAAUAGAGGGAAGUGUUGUUUGACUUGCACUCAAGAUAAUGCCUACUCUGAACAUUAACUUUGGCACUAGAGAGCAAAAACAAAAAAGUUUGCCAUUCCGAACCUAGAGGCUGGCUGACUGUAGGUGGGAUUUGAAAGCAUGUACAGGGCAUUUGUUUCUCCUGUUCCUCAUGUUUGGAACUGGACUGUCAGACCAUCAGCAUCUGCAGCUCCUGGACACGCUUUUCUGUACCAACCUUACAAUGGCAGUGAGUUGCACCACAAAGUUUCCCUCCUCAUACAGAAGAACACUGACAAUCAGAAAGGAACUUGACAACUUAUGAAAAAAGAUUUGCAGAAUAAUAUUCCAAGAUUAUAAGAAAGCUUUUUAAAGUUUGAUACCAACAAUUCAUACCAUUCCUGAAGCUUCAGUAUUCCCACUGCCAAAUGACCAACUUGAGCUGGGUUUAAGUGCUCCAGAGCACAUGUCACUGAUGUCCACAGGCUACAUUCAGGGCAGCUAAACACAGGAGACCUGAAAGAAAGAAGUGUUAACAUAUUUUUGUGUACACACCUUGGAAAAGACCACCACAUAUCUUGUAACAUUUUGGUCAGUAUUGCAUGAAUCCAAGUUCCAAACAGGUUUUUACCUUGUCAUGCUAAGGAAAAGGUCCACCAGUGAGUGCCCGGCAUGGACUGGCUCCUCCUCCAAGAGAUAUACAAUUGGCUGUGAUAGUUGUGACCAAAGUACUUCAGUCCACAGAUCAUGACAGCAUCCAAACACACUAGUUAGCAGCUUCAAGGAUUGGUUGAUACGAGAGGCAGAGUUGGAUUUAAGGGACUCUUCAAUGUGCACUACAAGCUUUUGCGCACAUACUGGCCAAUCACAGUCCUUUAUACUUACAAGUUUAGUCUGGAAUGAUUGUAGAGAGAAGGUGAGCAUGUGCACUAAAAGCUGAUUGGCAGCUGAAGCCACAAACAGGCUGGGGUCUCCCUGCAGAGUGAAGAUCACAUCUAUGGCUCCUAUGUCAAAGGAAAAACAACAACAACAAAGCCAUGACACUUAAAGAAACAAGAGUUUUGUUGUAACCUGGAGACGUCAUUGCAAUCCAAUCACGUGUCAUCCUACUUCUGAGUACCUCACACAAAUUAAAAUGUAAAGUUAAAAUGAAAACACAAACUUAAUGUUACAUAUGAACAGACUGAGAAAAGUCAGUCUAUCCAUCAUUGGCCAUAGGGGGGAAAAAAGGAAAAAAAUGACAAUGGCUGGCAUUGUAAAAUUUCUGUUUUCCCAACUGUAAGAUUAUAGGUGCUGUGAUAGGCAGCUUAUGAUCUCCCGCCGACAUAGUGCUGGGCACACUACCACUUAUGCCAGCCAAAUUUAUGUCAUUCAGGAUGUGUUUAAACUGUGGUUUAAAGAGAAUGAAUAGGGUGUGAAUAGAAUCUUCAGGGUGUGGGAGCGGACAGCUGGAGGAGGCUGUUAGAUUGACCUGAGUUAAGAUGCUCUGUAUAUGUUAAAUAGGUAUCAAAUAAAGACUGUCAAGUUACUACCCAUUAAUUAUUAAGACUAGUGGAUUACUUGAAUUUAAAACACAAAUAGGACUGCUCACAUUUUGUAAAAUCUGCAAGCCCAAUUAAAAAUCUGUGGCAAUGAAACCUGGGUUAAUUUCCCUAGAGUACAAUAAUCCUGAACUAUUUCUAAUAGACUGCAAAUAAGAAUUUUGGUGGCUUUCCAAUGCACUAUUUUUAUCUUGCCUAUUGGGUAAGUGUGUGUUUCUCCCUCCAACAUGGAUGCUAUUUAUUUUUUUUAUAUUGAGGAACCUUAAUACAUAUGUAAGUGUAACAAAAAUAAAGCAAUACAAUUAACUUUUA